rnacentral:misc_RNA from 1 species
AAGUCGUAACAAGGUUUCCGUAGGUGAACCUGCGGAAGGAUCAUUACCGAAUUGUCAAACGGGUUGUUGCUGGUCCUUGAAAGGGGACACGUGCACACUCUGUUUACACAUCCACUCACACCUGUGCACCCUCCGUAGUUCUAUGGUCUGGGAGACCCUGUCUUCCUGCUGUGGUUCUACGUCUUUACACACACACUGUAACAAAGUCUCAAGGAAUGUAUGCAGCGUCUAACGCAAUACAAUACAACUUUCAGCAACGGAUCUCUUGGCUCUC